AUACGGAGGAUGCGAGCGUUAUCCGGAUUUAUUGGGUUUAAAGGGUGCGUAGGCGGGUUGCCAAGUCAGGGGUGAAAUCCCGGAGCCUAACUCCGGAACUGCCUUUGAUACUGGCAGUCUUGAAUUCGGAUGCCGUGGGAGGAAUGAGUAGUGUAGCGGUGAAAUGCAUAGAUAUUACUCAGAACACCGAUUGCGAAGGCAUCUCACGAAUCCGACAUUGACGCUGAGGCACGAAAGCGUGGGGAUCAAACAGGAUUAGAUACCCUGGUAGUCCACGCAGUAAACGAUGAUUACUAGCUGUUUGCGAUAUACAGUAAGUGGCACAGCGAAAGCGUUAAGUAAUCCACCUGGGGAGUACGCCGGCAACGGUGAAACUCAAAUGAAUUGGCGGGG
rnacentral:rRNA from 1 species